AUGCCUUACGAUGAGCGGUACACACCGUACAUCAAGCAGGCAGGACUACUCCCGUGGAUUCAGUAGGUCAGCCGGUCCACGCCGAAUCUGAACGCUCCUCUGGUGUCAGCUCUUGCUGAUCGGUGGUGGCCGGAGACGCACAGUUUCCAUCUUCGGACUGGGGAGAUGACCGUGACGCUCGAGGAUGUCUCGUUGAUCACCGGUAUUGCUAUCACCGGGUGCCUCUCUCUAUGA
rnacentral:rRNA from 1 species